rnacentral:rRNA from 1 species
AUCAUGGCUCAGGAUGAACGCUAGCUACAGGCUUAACACAUGCAAGUCGAGGGGAAACGAUAUUGGAAACUUGCUUCCGAUAGGCGUCGACCGGCGCACGGGUGAGUAACGCGUAUCCAACCUGCCCAUCACUUGGGGAUAACCUUGCGAAAGUAAGACUAAUACCCAAUGACGUCUCUAGAAGACAUCUGAAGGAGAUUAAAGGAUUUAUCGGUGAUGGAUGGGGAUGCGUCUGAUUAGCUUGUUGGCGGGUAACGGCCCACCAAGGCGACGAUCAGUAGGGGUUCUGAGAGGAAGGUCCCCCACAUUGGAACUGAGACACGGUCCAAACUCCUACGGGAGGCAGCAGUGAGGAAUAUUGGUCAAUGGGCGAGAGCCUGAACCAGCCAAGUAGCGUGCAGGAUGACGGCCCUAUGGGUUGUAAACUGCUUUUAUAAGGGAAUAAAGUGGGAGUCGUGACUCUUUUUGCAUGUACCUUAUGAAUAAGGACCGGCUAAUUCCGUG